rnacentral:lncRNA from 1 species
UCCAGGUCCUAGCAUAUGCAUUCGGUCUGAGCCUAUGAUGUGGAAGGUUGGACAGAGAUGCUCCGGGAACUAGAUCGAUUGCGCGUUGGAUAUCACGCAUUGGAGACAGUGCAUCCGGAAGAUCAUCAGGGAGUGCAUCAUGAAACUCCUCUAGAAGAGAAACUACUACUGGGGAAUGUUCAAGGUUGGACUUCGCAUGGGUAUCUUUAGCUACAAGUGCCAAUUCAGGUGACUUGCUCUCAAUAUCUGUCACUACCUCUUCCACAGUAGUGAUGUGAAGUGGCUUGGUU